rnacentral:rRNA from 1 species
AACGAACGCUGGCGGCAGGCCUAACACAUGCAAGUCGAACGCCCCGCAAGGGGAGUGGCAGACGGGUGAGUAACACGUGGGAACGUACCCUUCGGUUCGGGAUAACUCAGGGAAACUUGAGCUAAUACCGGAUACGUCCGAGAGGAGAAAGAUUUAUCGCCGAGGGAUCGGCCCGCGUCUGAUUAGCUUGUUGGUGAGGUAACGGCUCACCAAGGCGACGAUCAGUAGCUGGUCUGAGAGGAUGAUCAGCCACAUUGGGACUGAGACACGGCCCAAAACUCCUACGGGAGGCAGCAGUGGGGAAUCUUGCGCAAUGGGCGAAAAGCCUGACGCAGCCAUGCCGCGUGAAUGAUGAA